AGUGAACGCUGGCGGUAGGCCUAACACAUGCAAGUCGAACGGCAGCACAGUAAGAGCUUGCUCUUACGGGUGGCGAGUGGCGGACGGGUGAGGAAUACAUCGGAAUCUCCUUUUUCGUGGGGGGUAACGUAGGGAAACUUACGCUAAUACCGCAUACGACCUACGGGUGAAAGCAGGGGAUCUUCGGACCUUGCGCGAUUGAAUGAGCCGAUGUCGGAUUAGCUAGUUGGCGGGGUAAAGGCCCACCAAGGCGACGAUCCGUAGCUGGUCUGAGAGGAUGAUCAGCCACACUGGAACUGAGACACGGUCCAGACUCCUACGGGAGGCAGCAGUGGGGAAUAUUGGACAAAGGGCGCAAGCCUGAUCCAGCCAUACCGCGUGGGUGAAGAAGGCCUUCGGGUUGUAAAGCCCUUUUGUUGGGAAAGAAAAGCAGCAGGUUAAUACCCCGCUGUUCUGACGGUACCCAAAGAAUAAGCACCGGCUAACUUCGUG
rnacentral:rRNA from 1 species